ACUUACGGCCAUACCACCCUGAACGCACCCGAUCUCGGAAGCUAAGCAGGGUCGGGCCUGGUCAGUACUUGGAUGGGAGACGGCCUGGGAAUACCAGGUGCUGUAAGCU
rnacentral:rRNA from 1 species